UGGGGAAUUUUGCACAAUGGGGGAAACCCUGAUGCAGCGACGCCGCGUGAUUUAGAAGGCCUUCGGGUUGUAAAAAUCUUUUCUAUGGGAAGAAAAUGACAGUACCAUAGGAAUAAGGACCGGCUAAUUACGUGCCAGCAGCCGCGGUAAUACGUAAGGUCCGAGCGUUGUCCGGAAUCAUUGGGCGUAAAGGGUACGUAGGCGGGUAAGCAAGUUAGAAGUGAAAUCCUAUAGCUCAACUAUAGUAAGCUUUUAAAACUGCUCAUCUUGAGGUAUGGAAGGGAAAGUGGAAUUCCUAGUGUAGCGGUGAAUUGCGCAGAUAUUAGGAGGAAUACCGGUGGCGAAGGCUACUUUCUGGCCAUAACCUGACGCUGAGGUACGAAAGCGUGGGUAGCAAACAGG
rnacentral:rRNA from 1 species